rnacentral:miRNA from 1 species
UUACCGAUAAUGACGUCAUUGCU